rnacentral:rRNA from 1 species
UACGUAGGGGGCAAGCGUUGUCCGGAUUUAUUGGGCGUAAAGAGCUCGUAGGUGGUUCGGUAAGUCGGAUGUGAAAUCUCCAGGCUCAACCUGGAGGGGUCAUUCGAUACUGCCGUGACUAGAGGUCGGUAGGGGAGUGUGGAAUUCCGGGUGUAGCGGUGGAAUGCGUAGAGAUCCGGAGGAAGACCGGUGGCGAAGGCGGCCUGCUGGGCAGUUACUGACACUCAUGGACGAAAGCUAGGGGAGCGAAUGGG